ensembl:lncRNA uncharacterized LOC107687744
CUAUUACUUAAGUUAUUUGAAUUAAUGUUUCUUCAGCAGAGAGCUGAAGACAUCUCAGUAACGUUACACUAUGUAACUAGUAAGCUGCUUCUCUAGAAAGAAUUAUUGGGCAUUAGUGAAUCAAAUGUGCUAGUUUUUAUUUAUGUUGUUUAGAUUUGUGACCAGAACUGUAGUGACUAAUUAGUUAUGAAACAAACUGCGAUUUAGUCAUUGAUGGCUAUUGUUUUCAGGGCAAAUUACCACUACCUCACUAACUUGCCUCCAAGACAAGAGUCAGGAUUCUACAGUGAGGUGAACAUCUUGGUUCUCAGGGAGGUUACUACCAAAUCUGUCUCUAUGAAACUGCGGCGCAGCACAGUCCUGAGAAGCCGACGGCUUCAUCAGCGAGAACAUGUGAAGGACUCUGAGAGCAUCUCUGUGGUGUUGAGUGACACUGACUCUAGUCAGUCAGACAGUGUGAAAGAAAUAAAAGAUCAUGUGUCUGUUAUUCGUGAUCUGAAGCGGCCAGUAAGGAAGAGUAGAGCUGGGUCAUCAUAUCGCGGGAGAAAAGAAGAUGAGAGGCCGCUUUCUGUUGUGGAACCACAACAUGGGACGGUUCAGAAGAUCUCCCUGGCUCCAGGUGCAAUGGCUGAGGACACUCUAGAGAAACUCAGGUUUAGGGCUAAUACCUCUGAGACCAAGAUCGAGAUUGAGUCUCGAGCAGAGCUUGAGUCUAUUUUGGACGAAUCCGGUACUGAUUUCACGGUGCAAUCGGGUCCCAGCUCACCCUGUCGUCCUGUCAAUACUGUAAGAUGCAGAGAAUGCGAGAGACUUUUCGCCAAGAUGAGAAAACAGCCCACCCCGGAAAAGAAAAGCAGAGAUACAGAUCCAGCAUCUUUAUCUUGUGAUGUGUGGGUUCUGCUUAAGAAGUGGCACCCUCAGAGACACCGUCAUCGAGAGAAGGGAUUAUUGUGGACAAGCCUGAGUCGGAUCAGGAAGUUGUUAGCAGGAGGCUCCGAUUUUGCAGCCAUCAACAGAACAGAAGCAAACUGCUUCAGACCUCAUGCAUUUCAGCAGAGGAAUUUACGGCGCUGCAAGUAUCUGCUUUCCAUUCAGACCAACCUGUCCAUUACCAAAGCAAAGCCACGGCAUCGUAAGAGGUCACGAUCUGUGGACUGGCCACCCGUUGCUGGCUGGAAAUCUUCGGUGAAAAGGAAGCCUUCUUGGAACAACACAUUAUCUCAGCAGCUUUCUCCUCUCAACCUUAGUGUCAGUGUGACGCAGGAGGACAAACUGCUUGUAGAUGAGAAGAUUUCAAGAUUAAAUGCAGGGUUGAAGCAGAACUCAGAUGCCUCCAGCAAACAGAGGACGACUGAUGUCCGGGGCAAAUUGAACAAUCAGGAAGUGUUUGAUGGCAUAGAUGGAACGCGGCGGGCUCUGAAGUUUGAUGACACGCCUGAAACUGUUGCUGUGGAAGCUGCGGAACAGAGGAAAAGCCCUCGGCAGAAGCACAAACUUCGUGGAGAGAUUCGUGAAGCUCAGAAUGGUUUCCAGAAUGAGCAGCAGGAAGAGAUUUCUGAGGAUUCGAAUGGGUUCAGGACGCCCCCAGAUCUGUUCAGCGUGAAGCCUAAGAUGAAACGAGGGAACCAGAGGAAAGUCUCUGCCUCUGGUGUUACAAAAUCUGCCACGCAGAAGCCCAACUUCAUGUCCAUGUUAGCCACUCUGGUGAAGAAUCAGAACCAGAUUAUUAAAGAGUCCUGCAAAUGAGUCUCUGUGAAAGUUCUGCAAUUAGAUUUGUUAGUCAUUUUGUAUAAUUAAAGAGACAUGCAUCGUUGCUGUCGAGAUUUGUUUAUUCUGUUACUUGUUUAAAUGAAUAGAUCUGAUUUCUGAAAAAAAAAGUCUGCUUAUAUUUAUUGUAUUGUUCAAUUGUCUGUGUUCUAACGUUUGCAUUUGCAUGAGUAAAUAAAUCUCGGGUAAACAUCUUUUUGUCUGUGCUGAUGGCUUGAACUGCAGUUAUUGUAAUAACCACAGAGUGGAGCUGUUUCCAAACAAACUUGCG